AUUGAACGCUGGCGGCAGGCCUAACACAUGCAAGUCGAACGAGUGGCGGACGGGUGAGUAAUGUAUGGGAACCUGCCUGAUGGAGGGGGAUAACUACUGGAAACGGUAGCUAAUACCGCAUACCAUCAGAUGUGCCCAGAUGGGAUUAGCUAGUUGGUGGGGUAACGGAUAACAAAGGCGACGAUCCCUAGCUGGUCUGAGAGGAUGACCAGCCACACUGGAACGGAGAAACGGGCCAGACUCCUACGGUAGGCAGCAGUGGGGAAUAUUCCACAAUGUGCGCAAGCCUGAUGCAGCCAUGCCGCGUGUAUGAAGAAGGCCUUCGGGUUGUAAAGUACUUUCAGCGGGGAGGCGUUACCCGCAGAAGAAGCACCGGCUAACUCCGUGCCAGCAGCCGCGGUAAUUC
rnacentral:rRNA from 1 species